AUGAUCCAGCAAGACUGCAACCUUCUACAUCUUAGCCACCCUCUAUUCUCACACCUACCGCCAACAAUUUUGCAGUACGCCGACGACACUCUCAUCAUUGCCAAGGCUUCGACUGACGCAUCCAUACAGCUAAAAAGCAUACUCCACAAAUUUGCUAUGGCAAUUGGCCUCACUAUAAACUUCACAAAAACCACGUUUGUACCUAUGCACAUCUGUCCUGUUCUCGCAGCCGACAUUGCCACCACACUGCAGUGCACGACCUCCACCUUCCCGCAAAUUUACCUAGGACUACCCUUAGCACCCACACGCCUACCUGCUAACGCUUUCCUCCCAAUCAUAGAAUGA
rnacentral:rRNA from 1 species